UACAGAGGGUGCGAGCGUUAAUCGGAAUUACUGGGCGUAAAGCGUGCGUAGACGGUUAUUUAAGUCGGGUGUGAAAGCCCCGGGCUCAACCUGGGAAUUGCAUUCGAGACUGAAUAGCUAGGGUACGGUAGAGGGAAGUGGAAUCUCCGGUGUAGCGGUGAAAUGCGUAGAUAUCGGAAGGAACAUCAGUGGCGAAAGCGACUUCCUGGACCAGUACCGACGUUCAGGCACGAAAGCGUGGGGAGCAAACAGG
rnacentral:rRNA from 1 species